AUUGAACGCUGGCGGCAGGCCUAACACAUGCAAGUCGAACGAGUGGCGGACGGAUUAGCAAUGUCUGGGAAACUGCCUGAUGGAUGGGGUUAACUACUGGAAACGGUAGCUAAUACCGCACACCAUCAGAUGUGCCCAGGUGGGAUUAGCUUGUUGGUGGGGUAACGGCUCACCAAGGCGACGAACCCUAGCUGGUCUGAGAGGAUGACCAGCCACACUGGAACUGAGACACGGUCCAGACUCCUACGGGAGGGAGCAGUGGGGAAUAUUGCACAAUGGGCGCAAGCCUGAUCAAGCCAUGCCGCGUGUGUGAAGAAGGUCUUCGGAUUGUAAAGCACUUUAAGUUGGGAGGCGUUACCAACAGAAUAAGCACCGGCUAACUUCGUGCCAGCAGCCGCGGUAAUAC
rnacentral:rRNA from 1 species